CGGAGGAAAAGAAACUAACAAGGAUUCCCCUAGUAACGGCGAGUGAAGAGGGAAGAGCUCAAAUUUUGAAUCUGGCGUCUUUGGCGUCCGAGUUGUAAUCUAGAGAAGUGUUUUCCGUGACGGACCGUGCAUAAGUCUCCUGGAAUGGAGUGUCAUAGAGGGUGAGAAUCCCGUACAUGGCAUGGACUCCCGUUACUCUGCGAUACACUCUCGACGAGUCGAGUUGUUUGGGAAUGCAGCUCCAAAUGGGUGGUAAAUGCCAUCUAAAGCUAAAUAUGGGCGAGAGACCGAUAGCGAACAAGUACCGUGAGGGAAAGAUGAAAAGCACUUUGGAAAGAGAGUGAAACAGUACGUGAAAUUGUUGAAAGGGAAACGCUUGAAGUCAGUCACACCCUUUGGGAUUCAGCCUUGCUUCUGCUCGGUUUACUUCCCGUUGGGUGGGUCAACAUCAGUUUCAGUCGGAGGAGAAAGACUGGGGGAAGGUAGCAGCAUUCGUGCUGUGUUAUAGACCCUUGUUGUAUACUUCGAUUGGGACUGAGGACCGCAGCACGCCUUUGGCCGGGGUUUACCCACGUACGUGCUUAGGAUGUUGGCAUAAUGGCUUUAAGCGACCCGUCUUGA
rnacentral:rRNA from 1 species